rnacentral:rRNA from 1 species
AACAGGAUUAGAUACCCUGGUAGUCCACGCCGUAAACGAUGAUUACUAGCUGUCCGGCAACUUGGUUUUUGGGUGGCGCACCUAACGCAUUAAUUUAUCCGCCGGGGGAGUACGGCCGCAAGGUUAAAACUCAAAUGAAUUGACGGGGGCCUGCACCAAGCGGGGGAGCAUGUGGUUUAAUUCGAAGCAACGCGCAAAACCUUACCAGCGUUUGACAUGUCCGGACGAUUUCCAAAGAUGGAUUCCUUCCCUUCGGGGACUGGAACACAGGUGCUGCAUGGCUGUCGUCAGCUCGUGUCGUGAGAUGUUGGGUUAAGUCCCGCAAAGAGCGCAACCCUCGCCUUUAGUUACCCUCCUUCAAUUGGGUCCUUUAAAGGAACCCCCGGGUGAUAAACCGGAGGAAGGUGUGGGAGGAGGUCAAAUCUUCAUGGCCCCUACGCGGUGGGGUACACACGUGUUACAAAGGCAGGGACACUGGGGAGCAAUACCGCGAGGGGGAGAUAAUAUCCAAAACCUGUGUCAGUUUUGAGUGCACUCUGCAAAUCGAGUGCACGAAGGGGGAAUAUCUAGUAAUCUCGGAUCAGCACGCCGCGGUGAAUACGUUCCCAGGCCCUGUACACACCGCCCGUCACACCACGGGAGUUGGAUUCACCCGAAGGCGUUGCGCGCCAUCGCCAGAGAGGCAGGCGACCACGGUGGGGUCAGCGCACUGGGGGUAGAAUGUCGUAACAAGGUAACC